ACUUUAGUUGUUAUAUCUUAAGACUUAUUUUAGCUGUUUUUGUCAAUUGUUUGUGGGAAUUCUUCGUUAUUGGAAAUAUAGUGCAUUUGGUUAAAUUAAGCCUUUAAUUCAAAGCUGAACACUCUUGUAAAAAUGCGCCUACGUGUUAUAUAAGAAAUCGCUCAAAGCUGUUUUUAAAAUGGUCUAAACAGAAACAUAUACAGAAAAACUCUUUUGCUUUGUUACGUCAACAUUCUACAUUUUUGGCAUGUUUUCUAAAUAUUCAUUUGAAAAUUAUUGAUUUCCUCAAAUACUAUUUAACGAAACAACCCAUUCUGGAAAAUUAAUCCAUUCAACCUGCAGAAAGCAGUUUCUGAUUUCACACAAUGUAUUGCAGAGUUUGGUUAAUGUAGUUAGCAACCUUAGUAAAAGAUAUAGCUAGAUAUUUGUUUAAGAUUGUGUAACUUAGUCGGAAUAAAGAUCCCUUCUUACUUCAUGAAGAGGGGUAGUGGACAAGGCGAAGUGGCAGCUUUCAGAAAUACAGUUAAUAGAGACUCGUAGAAACCUAUGGACAAUGCGGUAUUCUGUAACGCUUUGAAAAUAUAACGCUUUUAUUGCGAUUAUUUUCCCCUAUAAUGUUUCUGCAUCGAAAACUAUGCGAUUAUAUUAAAUCUCCCGAAUUGGUUUCUUACAGGAAAUGGCCUUGAGUGCAAUUUUUCAUCGCCUUAUUCAGUCUCAUAUUUCAGUGGUCGUUAACAUGUUUGCUUUAAUUCCAAGCAUGAAAUACAAGGAGAUAAAUCUCUCAAACUGACGUAUGUCUUUCCUUGUACUGUUGUUGUCUACUGUACUUGGAAUUCUAUACAAAACACUGAAAGAACUUAACGCCAUUUUUAGGUCCUCCACUCCAUUUAGCCCAUGAAACCAUCGUAUGUUUACAUUCCAAAAAUGUUUACACCCCUGUCAAGGCGACAUAUCUGGCCCUCGAUUGCUUAACAUUGCCCCAGGUUGUAGGUAAUGGAAUGCUUCAAUAUUCGGGCACUGACUCGAAAAAUGGAUUGGAUAGGGCUGAUAUGGGUCUAAGAAAUAAUUAAUAAGACAUUGCUCUGUUUUGAGACCAAUCGAAUUGCUGUUUUCUACAUUAUGAUCAACGUUAGGAGAAAUUAGCAAGGAAGGAACUCUUUUAAAAGGAGAAAUUUGCAAGAAAAGCCAUAAGUUUCUCGAGGGGAAAAUGGCUCUAUGAAAAUCUCGAAAAGAUUUGGUAAAAAUCCUAUUGCUUCAUCAGAGAAUCUCUGAAAAUCUUUUUGUUUGGUAGAAAUUUCGUACGUUAUUUGCAAAAUUGAACUGCCCUUCGACGUUUCUAAAGUCAAAAGAGGCACGCAAAUUGACACUGUCAGUUCUCAAACCCUUCUCGAUACCCCUCCCCCCUCCCCCGCCCCCUUUGUAUGUUUCAAAGCGUUGCUUGGGGCUACCUAAGGGCUUAUUGUUCUCUUGGUGCUCUUUAUUCUCUUGGGGCUCUUUUUUAUGUAACACAAAUCUCCCCAAAGGACUCUAGAAGGAAAAUACUGUGCAUUACCCCCUGAUUUGUCGCCGCAUUUCAAAAGAUCCAAUCUCUAUUCUACCAAAACUAUUUCCACACGAUAACGAACGAUAACAAACAAUGUCUGCAUAACCGUCAACUAAUGUUGUCCUACAAACUUGGAUCCUUCUCGGCCGCGUGAUUUUUCUCGUUAUGUUUGUUUUGUCGAGCUAUGCAGAUGAUGUCCAAUGUAGGCAUGCAAAGAGAAACUUGCUGUUUAAUCUGUGACUUGCGUAUUGGAGUGAUUGUUUUAGCAAUAACAGGCAUGAUUGAAAGUGGUCAGCAGAUUCUUGUCUCCUUCGCACUGGCCGUAUCCCAUUCCCCAAAAUUCUCGGAAUUUCCAAGCAGCAAUGUCGCACUUCUUCAUGUAUAUACGGUGUUCCAAAUUGUUUCCUUCAUAUCAAUAUUAUUCGGACUCUUCAGCGUCGUCUCACAGGGCAGGAUGUACAGAAGAGCGCUGUUAUUAUGGAUCAUCUCAACAGUCCUCAUUUCUGGUAUCCAAAUUAUCUAUUUGUUUUACGUUGUUGCUUAUUUCAACAGAAAGGUAUUCUCGCUAAUUGCCCUAACUUUUGUGUUAUGCUUCGUGCCAAAAAACGCCUUUUUCUCGUUUGUCGUUUAUAAGUAUUACAAACUGGUCCUUUAUGGAUUCAUCUCGCCGGACUACGACGAGCUUGAUUUUUCAAAGGAGACUAUCAGAAGGUCACGUGCAGGCAGCUCGAGGCGCGAAUCACUGCUCACUCUAAAAGAUGGACCAUGCACUGGGUUAGUGGACACCUAUUUAAGGCCGGAGAUAGAGUCAAAAUCCGGAAGAAAAGUGUCAAACUUUAUCUUGAAAGUAAUUCCAGAGCUUUCAGAAAGUAAGGAUAAUUCGUCGGAAAGUAACGAAACACCACACGAAAUAUUUGAGAUGCCGCAUCAAGUAUAAAGAUGAUGAGAACAGAAACCUGAAGUGAAUUGGCCAAUUAGAAGAUAUUGUUGAGAACAUGAGAUUCUUGCAAUUAAUUAGAUUUGCGACGUUUUAUCUCUAGUGUGCUGGCUGGCUGUUUAAGAAGCGAUUCAGAGUCGGUUGCUGACCUCCGGUUUUGGUUGGCCUAAACAAUUCCGAGGUGUACGGUCGUACGUAUAAAAAUGCCUCAUUGUAAAGGAAUGUGGUUGCUCACACAUUUAAAGGUCUGAAAAGUUCUUUACCACAAUUUCAAAAACUAUUGAGUUUUCUGAAACCAUAAACAAAGCAUUUAACCUGAAUAGAAAUGGGCAGCUAAUUGCGGGUGAGGAUCCCUGCAUAAAGUUCGUUGACUAACCCUCAUUGGGCGCCAUCAAAGAGACGCAAACAAAACAAUUUCGGUAUAUGAUGAUAUAUUCACAGUGCAUAGUAUAUCUGUAAUAUGCAAUUUACAAUGUACAUAGCAUCUUGUGUCUUCUUAUAUUCUAGGUGCUUUAAAUUCCAUUGAUAUUGAUACAAUAAAUAGCG